UACGUAGGGGUGCGAGCGUUGUCCGGAAUUAUUGGGCGUAAAGGGCUCGUAGGCGGUUUGUCGCGUCGGGAGUGAAAACCCAGGGCUUAACCCUGGGGCUGGCUUCCGAUACGGGGCAGACUAGAGGUAUGCAGGGGGAGAACGGAAUUCCUGGUGUAGCGGUGAAAUGCGCAGAUAUCAGGAGGAACACCGGUGGCGAAGGCGGUUCUCUGGGCAUUACCUGACGUGAGGA
rnacentral:rRNA from 1 species